ensembl:snRNA U6 U6 spliceosomal RNA
GCAGCAGUGCCUAUACUAAAAUUGGAAUGAUACAGAGAAAAUUAGCAUGGCCCUGCACAAGGAUGCAAAUUUGUGAAGCAUUUCAUAUUUUU